GGGAGUGGAAAUCUCCAUGACGCCAGCCCCCAGCGUUGGCCGCAGUCGCAUCAUGUGGUUUUCGCCGACAUGCCGAGACGAUGUUGGAUGGUUGGUUGCCCUAAUUCACGUCAAUAGACGCCGAGCACCCAAUGUCACGUGCUUCCCAGUGACGAGACGGACAGCUUUUGAAGACACGAAGCAAUCGUACCGCCGGAAUGGAAAGACAGUGUGGUGCCAUCGACUGCUCAUGUUUGUCCCCAACAUUUCCAUGAUUCCGAUUACGAAGGGGACGCUGAAUCUCUUCAACGUACUGGAUACCGAGCUUAGUGUCGUUUGAAUCAAAGUGUAGCACCAUCACAAUACCUGUCCACACCAGGGAAAGAACAUCCACCUAAACGGCGCAAAAGUGUAACUUCCUCAGCGGAGCUUGAAACCCCUGAGUGCGGCACAAGUGUAUGGCAGCUAAAGUCUUUCACCGGGGUAGCAUGCCAGAAGAACUCCAGCAAGUGCUCUGCAGUUCACCUCUAAAAUAAAGAAGCCUAUGUUUGACGCACCAUGUCGUCAGGAGAUUUUGUUCCUGCUACAACUGUGUGCUUUGUUUUAUAAUACCAAAAGUAACCUUACCAACGCUACUAUCAGUGGUGUACUGUUGUGUUCAACCAGUUCAACUUACUCUGGGCAUCCUGUAACGCCUCCGCAUUGACUUCAGCCCUUAUUUGCUGAUAACAUUGGUACCAAUACAGUUGUUAGAUGAGCUAUGUGCCAGUGUAAGAUAGAAUACAUCCUGUGUUUGGAUAUGCAUAAAAAUUAUGCAUGUGUAGCAUAUAAUGUGCAUGUGUAGAUGUUUCAAUUAUUAGCUCUUGUGUAUUUUGGUUACCAUACCAUUUGAGUUAAAUGCCGACGUUUCAGCUGUUUGAGCCUGGUGCCCUCGUCCUUGACACGUAUACAAGUGGGCCGACAUCCUGAGUUGAGCCUGCACAGCUCUCAGGACUCUCUGCAGGACUGUCUGUCCAGGUGGUAUAUUGAACAGUCCUUUUACGAAGAGGGCAGAUUUUUCCCCAGAAGACCAAAAGCAGUUUAUUUGAAAUUGUACCGAUUACUUCCCUCCCUUUCUUUUUUAUUCUUCUUAACUGGCAAAAUAUAGGGCAUGUUACGUGACUACUGGAGCUUUUGCCUCUUUCCAGGUACCACAACUAGUGACUGUAAGCUUAUGUAACACCAUAGUAUAAGGUGACAACGAAGCAGGCGAGCUGGUGUCGUUAGUUUGUGUCCCUCAGUCUCGGAAUUGAUUAUCAAUGUAUUACAUACUAUUGUAAACCUCGUUGAACAAUAAAUGUGUUAAACUUGCAGAAUACUCAUACAGCAUAUGCUGCAUUUGAGUUUCUCUAGGCAUGUUCGUUGUUAAUGCUAACUGUUCACAUUUACGACGUUCUCAACACUGAAUACCUCAUAAAACACAAAUUCUUGCGUGAAACAUAUUCUUAGGCAAAGAAUAGGUCCUCUGACGGAAGCAAAUACGGCGAUCCCGUCGCGUCUCUAGACCACAAAAUGCAGAGUAAAUCAGAAUCGCUUGAAAGCGCGAAGCUGCUUUGAAUGAUACUAGUA